GGGUUUUGUAUGUAGCAGAGCAGCUCCCUCACUGUGAUCUACUGAAAGUCAACCCUCGACACAAGGGUUUGU
rnacentral:rRNA from 1 species